rnacentral:lncRNA from 1 species
AUGCAAAAUGGUUUCCAGAAGGAAGAAAGGAAGGAGGGAGGAGGAUGGAGGAGGGAGGAAGGAGGAGGAGGGAGGGAGGAGGGAGGAGGGAGGAGGAGGGAGGAAGGAGGAGGGAGGAGGGAGGGAGGAGGAGGGAGGAGAGAGGAGGGAGGAGGGAGGAGGAGGAAGGAGGAGGAGGGAGGAGGAGGGAGGAGGAGGGAGGAGGAGGAAGGAGGGAGGAGAGGAGGGAGGAGGAGGGAGGAGGGAGGAGGGAGGAGGAGGGCGGAGGGAGGAGGGCGGAGGGAGGAGGGAUGGGAGGAGGAGGGAGGAGGAGGGAGGAGGAGGAGGAGGAGGAGGGCGGAGGGAGGAGGAGGGCGGAGGGAGGAGGAGGGAGGAGGGAGGAGGAGGGAGGAGGAGGGAGGAGGAGGGAGGCGGAGGGAGGAGGAGAGGGAGGAGGGGGAGGGAGGAGGAGGCGGAGGGAGGAGGGGAGGGAGGAGGCGGAGGGAGGAGGCGGAGGGAGAAGGAGGGAGGAGGAGGAGGAGGGAGGAGGAGGGAGGAGGGAGGGAGGAGGAAGGAGGAGGGAGGAGGAGGGGGGAGGGAGGAGGAGGCGGAGGGGAGGAGGAAGGAGGAGGAGGGGGGAGGGAGGAGGGGAGGGAGGAGGGAGGAGGGAGGAGGCGGAGGAGGAGGAGGAGGAGGGGGGAGGGAGGAGGCGGAGGGGAGGAGGAGGAGGGAGGAGGAGGGAGGAGGAGGAGGAGGGGAGGGAGGAGGGAUGGGAGGAGGAGGGGAGGGAGGAGGGGGAGGGAGGAGGGGGGAGGGAGGAGGGGGAGGGAGGAGGGGGGAGGGAGGGGGAGGGAGGAGGGGGAGGGAGGAGGGGAGGGAGGAGGGGGAGGGAGGAGGGGGGAGGGAGGGGGAGGGAGGAGGGGGGAGGGAGGAGGGGGAGGGAGGAGGGGGGAGGGAGGAGGGGGAGGGAGGAGGGGGGAGGGAGGGGGAGGGAGGAGGGAUGGGAGGAGGAGGGGAGGGAGGAGGGGGGAGGGAGGAGGCGGGAGGAGGAGGAGGGAAGGAGGGAGGAGAAGGAGGGCGGAGGGAGGAGGGAGGAGGAGGAGGAGAGGAGGAGGGAGAGGGAGGAGGAUGGAGGGAGGAGGGAGGCGGAGGGAGGAGGAUGGGAGGAGGAGGGGAGGAGGGAGGAGGAGGAGGGAGGCGGAGGAGGAGGAGGAGGGAGGAGGGAGGAGGAGGGAGGGAGGAGGCGGGAGGAGGGAGGAGGCGGGAGGAGGAGGGGGAGGAGGAGGCGGGAGGAGGAGGAGGGGGAGGAGGGAGGCGGGAGGAGGGAGGAGGGAGGAGGCGGAGGGGAGGGAGAAGAGAAGAGGGAGGAGGAGGAGGGAGAGGAGGAGGGAGGGAGAAGAGAAGAGGGAGGAGGGAGAAGAGAAGAGGGAGGAGGGAGGAGAGAGGAGGAAGGGAGGAGUGGGAGCCUGCGUCACUAGGACCAGGACAGAGAGGAGGGUCACGAGAGGGCGCAGGAAGAGGCUGAACCGGUGGAGCACACACAAGUGA